rnacentral:rRNA from 1 species
CUAACCAGGAUUCCCCUAGUAACGGCGAGUGAAGAGGGAGAAGCCCAGCACCGAAGCCUGCGGCAGUUUUGCUGUUAGGCAAUGUGGUGUUUGGGUCGGUUCGUGGGAUUGCCACUCCACUCGAAGUCCAGCAUUGAGUAUGGUCCACUGGAUUUGGCCCAGAGAGGGUGAAAGGCCCGUACGGGUGGAGGUUUCAGACAUGUGAGGCAAUUCACCAGACCGGCCUUAGAGUCGGGUUGUUUGAGAAUGCAGCCCAAAGCGGGUGGUAAACUCCAUCCAAGGCUAAAUACUAGCACGAGUCCGAUAGCAAA